rnacentral:rRNA from 1 species
UUGCGGUUAAAAAGCUCGUAGUUGGAUUUCUGUCUAAAGCGUCCGGUCUCCACUAUGUGGGUGUAUCUGGUUCGGUUUGGGCAUCCUCUUGGGGAACGGUUCUGCGCUUGAUUGCGUGGGCCGGAAUUCAAGACUUUUACUUUGAGGAAAUUAGAGUGUUCACGGCAAGCUAUCGCUUUGAAUAUGUUAGCAUGGAAUAAUAAUAUAGGGCGUGAGUUCUAUUUUGUUGGUUUUUAGGAUUUACGCAAUGAUUAAUAGGGACAAUUGGGGGCAUUUGUAUUAAGGCGUCAGAGGUGGAAUUCUUAGAUUGCCUUACGACAAACUACUGCGAAAGCAUUUGCCAAGGAUGUUUUCAUUGAUCAAGAACGAAAGUAUGGGGAUCGAAAACGAUUAGAUACCGUUGUAGUCUAUACCAUAAACUAUGCCAAUUAGAGAUGGGGCGUCGUUCGUUUAUGACUCGCUCCGCACCUUAUGAGAAAUCAAAAUUUUUGGGUUCCGGGGGGAGUAUGGUCGCAAGGCUGAAACUUAAAGGAAUUGACGGAAGGGCACCACCAGGAGUGGAGCCUGCGGCUUAAUUUGACUCAACAC